UAUCAACGCUGAGGUGUGAUGACGAGCCACUACGGUGGUGAAGUAGUUGAUGCCAAGCUUCCAGGAAAAGCCUCUAAGCAUCAGGUAACAUUAAAUCGUACCCCAAACCGACACAGGUGGUCAGGUAGAGAAUACUCAGGCGCUUGAGAGAACUCGGGUGAAGGAACUAGGCAAAAUGGUGCCGUAACUUCGGGAGAAGGCACGCUGGCAUUAGGUAAAGAGACUUGCUCUCGGCGCCGAAGCCAGUCGCAGAUACCAGCUGGCUGCAACUGUUUAAUAAAAACACAGCACUGUGCAAACACGAAAGUGGACGUAUACGGUGUGACGCCUGCCCGGUGCUGGAAGGUUAAUUGAUGGGGUCAGCCGCAAGGCGAAGCUCUUGAUCGAAGCCCCAGUAAACGGCGGCCGUAACUAUAACGGUCCUAAGGUAGCGAAAUUCCUUGUCGGGUAAGUUCCGACCUGCACGAAUGGCGUAAUGAUGGCCAGGCUGUCUCCACCCGAGACUCAGUGAAAUUGAACUCGCUGUGAAGAUGCAGUGUACCCGCGGCAAGACGGAAAGACCCCGUGAACCUUUACUAUAGCUUGACACUGAACAUUGAGCCUUGAUGUGUAGGAUAGGUGGGAGGCAUUGAAGUGUGGACGCCAGUCUGCAUGGAGCCAACCUUGAAAUACCACCCUUUAAUGUUUGAUGUUCUAACUCGGCCCCAUAAUCUGGGGUGAGGACAGUGUCUGGUGGGUAGUUUGACUGGGGCGGUCUCCUCCCAAAGAGUAACGGAGGAGCACGAAGGUUAGCUAAUCACGGUCGGACAUCGUGAGGUUAGUGCAAAGGCAUAAGCUAGCUUGACUGCGAGAGUGACGGCUCGAGCAGGUACGAAAGUAGGUCUUAGUGAUCCGGUGGUUCUGAAUGGAAGGGCCAUCGCUCAACGGAUAAAAGGUACUCCGGGGAUAACAGGCUGAUACCGCCCAAGAGUUCAUAUCGACGGCGGUGUUUGGCACCUCGAUGUCGGCUCAUCACAUCCUGGGGCUGAAGUAGGUCCCAAGGGUAUGGCUGUUCGCCAUUUAAAGUGGUACGCGAGCUGGGUUUAGAACGUCGUGAGACAGUUCGGUCCCUAUCUGCCGUGGGCGUUGGAAGAUUGAGAGGGGCUGCUCCUAGUACGAGAGGACCGGAGUGGACGAAUCACUGGUGUUCGG
rnacentral:rRNA from 1 species